rnacentral:rRNA from 1 species
UUAAGCGACUAAGCGUACACGGUGGAUGCCCUGGCAGUCAGAGGCGAUGAAGGACGUGCUAAUCUGCGAAAAGCGCCGGCGAGGUGAUAUGAACCUUUGACCCGGCGAUGUCCGAAUGGGGAAACCCAGUGUGAUUCGUCACACUAUCGUUAACUGAAUACAUAGGUUAACGAGGCGAACCGGGGGAACUGAAACAUCUAAGUACCCCGAGGAAAAGAAAUCAACCGAGAUUCCCCCAGUAGCGGCGAGCGAACGGGGAGCAGCCCGGAGUCUGAAUCAGCUUGUGUGUUAGUGGAACGGUCUGGAAAGUCCGACGGUACAGGGUGAUAGUCCCGUACACGAAAAUGCACAGGUUGUGAACUCGAAGAGUAGGGCGGGACACGUGGUAUCCUGUCUGAAUAUGGGGGGACCAUCCUCCAAGGCUAAAUACUCCUGACUGACCGAUAGUGAACCAGUACCGUGAGGGAAAGGCGAAAAGAACCCCGGCGAGGGGAGUGAAAAAGAACCUGAAACCGUGUACGUACAAGCAGUGGGAGCCUACUUGUUAGGUGACUGCGUACCUUUUGUAUAAUGGGUCAGCGACUUAUAUUCUGUAGCAAGGUUAACCGAAUAGGGGAGCCGAAGGGAAACCGAGUCUUAACUGGGCGUUAAGUUGCAGGGUAUAGACCCGAAACCCGGUGAUCUAGCCAUGGGCAGGUUGAAGGUUGGGUAACACUAACUGGAGGACCGAACCGACUAAUGUUGAAAAAUUAGCGGAUGACCUGUGGCUGGGGGUGAAAGGCCAAUCAAACCGGGAGAUAGCUGGUUCUCCCCGAAAGCUAUUUAGGUAGCGCCUCGUGAACUCAUCUUCGGGGGUAGAGCACUGUUUCGGCUAGGGGGCCAUCCCGGCUUACCAACCCGAUGCAAACUACGAAUACCGAAGAAUGUUAUCACGGGAGACACACGGCGGGUGCUAACGUCCGUCGUGAAGAGGGAAACAACCCAGACCGCCAGCUAAGGUCCCAAAGUCAUGGUUAAGUGGGAAACGAUGUGGGAAGGCACAGACAGCCAGGAUGUUGGCUUAGAAGCAGCCAUCAUUUAAAGAAAGCGUAAUAGCUCACUGGUCGAGUCGGCCUGCGCGGAAGAUGUAACGGGGCUAAACCAUGCACCGAAGCUGCGGCAGCGACGCUUAUGCGUUGUUGGGUAGGGGAGCGUUCUGUAAGCCGUUGAAGGUGGCCUGUGAGGGUUGCUGGAGGUAUCAGAAGUGCGAAUGCUGACAUAAGUAACGAUAAAGCGGGUGAAAAGCCCGCUCGCCGGAAGACCAAGGGUUCCUGUCCAACGUUAAUCGGGGCAGGGUGAGUCGACCCCUAAGGCGAGGCCGAAAGGCGUAGUCGAUGGGAAACAGGUUAAUAUUCCUGUACUUGGUGUUACUGCGAAGGGGGGACGGAGAAGGCUAUGUUAGCCGGGCGACGGUUGUCCCGGUUUAAGCAUGUAGGCGGAGGUUCCAGGUAAAUCCGGUACCUUUUUAACGCUGAGGUGUGAUGACGAGGCACUACGGUGCUGAAGUAACAAAUGCCCUGCUUCCAGGAAAAGCCUCUAAGCAUCAGGUAACACGAAAUCGUACCCCAAACCGACACAGGUGGUCAGGUAGAGAAUACCAAGGCGCUUGAGAGAACUCGGGUGAAGGAACUAGGCAAAAUGGUGCCGUAACUUCGGGAGAAGGCACGCUGAUAUGUAGGUGAAGCCCCUGCGGGUGGAGCUGAAAUCAGUCGAAGAUACCAGCUGGCUGCAACUGUUUAUUAAAAACACAGCACUGUGCAAACACGAAAGUGGACGUAUACGGUGUGACGCCUGCCCGGUGCCGGAAGGUUAAUUGAUGGGGUUAGCGGCAACGCGAAGCUCUUGAUCGAAGCCCCGGUAAACGGCGGCCGUAACUAUAACGGUCCUAAGGUAGCGAAAUUCCUUGUCGGGUAAGUUCCGACCUGCACGAAUGGCGUAAUGAUGGCCAGGCUGUCUCCACCCGAGACUCAGUGAAAUUGAACUCGCUGUGAAGAUGCAGUGUACCCGCGGCAAGACGGAAAGACCCCGUGAACCUUUACUAUAGCUUGACACUGAACACUGGUCCUUGAUGUGUAGGAUAGGUGGGAGGCUUUGAAGCGUGGACGCCAGUCUGCGUGGAGCCGACCUUGAAAUACCACCCUUUAAUGGCUGGUGUUCUAACGUAGACCCGUAAUCCGGGUUGCGGACAGUGUCUGGUGGGUAGUUUGACUGGGGCGGUCUCCUCCCAAAGAGUAACGGAGGAGCACGAAGGUUAGCUAAUCCUGGUCGGACAUCAGGAGGUUAGUGCAAUGGCAUAAGCUAGCUUGACUGCGAGAGUGACGGCUCGAGCAGGUGCGAAAGCAGGUCAUAGUGAUCCGGUGGUUCUGAAUGGAAGGGCCAUCGCUCAACGGAUAAAAGGUACUCCGGGGAUAACAGGCUGAUACCGCCCAAGAGUUCAUAUCGACGGCGGUGUUUGGCACCUCGAUGUCGGCUCAUCACAUCCUGGGGCUGAAGUAGGUCCCAAGGGUAUGGCUGUUCGCCAUUUAAAGUGGUACGCGAGCUGGGUUUAGAACGUCGUGAGACAGUUCGGUCCCUAUCUGCCGUGGGCGCUGGAGAAUUGAGGGGGGCUGCUCCUAGUACGAGAGGACCGGAGUGGACGCAUCACUGGUGUUCGGGUUGUCAUGCCAAUGGCACUGCCCGGUAGCUAAAUGCGGAAGAGAUAAGUGCUGAAAGCAUCUAAGCACGAAACUUGCCCCGAGAUGAGUUCUCCCUGAGACUAUAAGUCUCCUGAAGGAACGUUGAAGACGACGACGUUGAUAGGUCGGGUGUGUAAGCGCAGCGAUGCGUUGAGCUAACCGAUACUAAUGAACCGUGAGGCUUAACCU